rnacentral:rRNA from 1 species
GAUGAACGCUGGCGGCGUGCUUAACACAUGCAAGUCGAACGGAAAGGCUCCUGCUUGCAGGGGUACUCGAGUGGCGAACGGGUGAGUAACACGUGGGUGAUCUGCCCUGCACUUCGGGAUAAGCCUGGGAAACUGGGUCUAAUACCGGAUAGGACGAUGGUUUGGAUGCCAUUGUGGAAAGUUUUUCGGUGUGGGAUGAGCUCGCGGCCUAUCAGCUUGUUGGUGGGGUAAUGGCCUACCAAGGCGUCGACGGGUAGCCGGCCUGAGAGGGUGUACGGCCACAUUGGGACUGAGAUACGGCCCAGACUCCUACGGGAGGCAGCAGUGGGGAAUAUUGCACGAUGGGCGCAAGCCUGAUGCAGCGACGCCGCGUGGGGGAUGACGGCCUUCGGGUUGUAAACUCCUUUCGCUAGGGACGAAGCGCAAGUGACGGUACCUGGAGAAGAAGCACCGGCUAACUACAUG